GAUGAACGCUGGCGGCGUGCCUAAUACAUGCAAGUCGAACGCUUUGUAAAGGAGCUUGCUUCUUUACGAGGAGUGGCGAACGGGUGAGUAAUACAUAAGCAAUCUGCCCAUCGGCCUGGGAUAACAGUUGGAAACGGCUGCUAAUACCGCAUAAGCCCACGGUGCCGCAUGGCACAGCGGGAAAAGGAUUUAUUCGCUUCAGGAUGGACUCGCGUCCAAUUAGCUAGUUGGUGAGGUAACGGCCCACCAAGGCGACGAUUGGUAGCCGGACUGAGAGGUUGAACGGCCACAUUGGGACUGAGACACGGCCCAG
rnacentral:rRNA from 1 species